CUUAGAAAAACAGGACUUGAACCUGCACCAAAGAACCCAAAAUUCUCUGUACUCCCACUAUACUAUUUCCU
rnacentral:tRNA from 1 species